rnacentral:rRNA from 1 species
AUUGAACGCUGGCGGCAGGCCUAACACACGCAAGUCGAGCGGAUGACGGGAGCUUGCUCCUGGAUUCAGCGGCGGACGGGUGAGUAAUGCCUAGGAAUCUGCCUGGUAGUGGGGGACAACGUUUCGAAAGGAACGCUAAUACCGCAUACGUCCUACGGGAGAAAGCGGGGGACCUUCGGGCCUUGCGCUAUCAGAUGAGCCUAGGUCGGAUUAGCUAGUUGGUGAGGUAAUGGCUCACCAAGGCGACGAUCCGUAACUGGUCUGAGAGGAUGAUCAGUCAAACUGGAACUGAGGCACGGUCCAGACUCCUACGGGAGGCAGCAGUGGGGAAUAUUGGACAAUGGGCGAAAGCCUGAUCCAGCCAUGCCGCGUGUGUGAAGAAGGUCUUCGGAUUGUAAAGCACUUUAAGUUGGGAGGAAGGGUUGUAGAUUAAUACUCUGCAAUUUUGACGUUACCGACAGAAUAAGCACCGGCUAACUCUGUGCCAGCCGCCGCCGUAACAC